GUGUGCCCCUUGCUUCACCUGGUGAUCGACUCCAAUGUUGGUGUCAUCGUCAAGAACAUCUUAGAUCAAAUUCAACUCGGAGUCCAGGUCGGAGUCUGAAGACAGAGCUUGGGGAUGAGCGAGGUGCUGCCCCUGGCUGACCGGUUCCCCAGUCUUGACCAGCAUCCCUGGUUGGCAUCUCCCUCUACGAAGGUGCUGCCAACCCAGUGGGAAUCGAAGUCUGAGCCCACCGGAUUAGCCUUACAGUUGGGACCACAGCCCCC